GACGAACGCUGGCGGCGUGCUUAACACAUGCAAGUCGAACGGAAAGGCCCUGCUUUUGUGGGGUGCUCGAGUGGCGAACGGGUGAGUAACACGUGAGUAACCUGCCCUUGACUUUGGGAUAACUUCAGGAAACUGGGGCUAAUACCGGAUAGGAGCUCCUGCUGCAUGGUGGGGGUUGGAAAGUUUCGGCGGUUGGGGAUGGACUCGCGGCUUAUCAGCUUGUUGGUGGGGUAGUGGCUUACCAAGGCUUUGACGGGUAGCCGGCCUGAGAGGGUGACCGGCCACAUUGGGACUGAGAUACGGCCCAGACUCCUACGCGAGGCAGCAGUGGGGAAUAUUGCACAAUGGGCGGAAGCCUGAUGCAGCAACGCAGCGUGCGGGAUGACGGCCUUCGGGUUGUAAACCGCUUUCGCCUGUGACGAAGCGUGAGUGACGGUAAUGGGUAAAGAAGCACCGGCUAACUACGUG
rnacentral:rRNA from 1 species